rnacentral:antisense_RNA from 1 species
CACCGACAUCAGCGACUCGUUCUGCGAGCCGUUGCCGACCGCCAGAUACGAGUGCAUGCCGAGCUCGCGCAUCUGCUGUUCGCCGAUCACGCGGGUGAUGAUGUUUUUACCGUACUGAUCCGCCAGCUGGCGCGCCUGGGAGGCGAGGUAGGCGGCGUUACAGAUGUUCGGCGGCAUGUUGCCGAGAUCUUUCGC